rnacentral:lncRNA from 1 species
UUAGCUUCAAGUGCUGCCGGAAGAAGAAGAAAGAGCACAAGGAUUUGUGAGUUAGUUCUCAGGUGUUGGAUUUUGACUUCUUGAAAAAUAUUAUCGCAAGAGAGCGGGUACAUGUAUAUACCUUUUUUGGGGGUGAAUGAAAUACCGCAACUAGAAGAAGUAUGAGGAGUGUGGAGUGGCUUGUUCAAUAGUGGCAUGAAUAGUGAAACAAUUAUGCAGGGUAAAAUAUAUAGCAUACAUGAUUACUUCUUCCUGUUUUAGUGUUUUGUCAUUAGUGAUUUCGUCGGAUCUGAAUAAUUCUUCUGGACCAUCAACUUAGAAUUUGUCAAGCAAGGUUUAUGGACCCCUCUUUUCUCCAUGAUUUCUCAGGCCAGGUCACGUAAUGUCCUUGUGAUUUGUGGCUAAUUAGGUGGCAUAAUAUUGAAACAAACUGGGGACUGCACUCAAGUCCUUUCAACGAGUUUAUGUGACAGGUGAUGUGUGUUCUCUAAAGUUUUGACAACAGCUUUGAUGGCCUUGACCUUUCAAACAAACUAGAAUUACGAAAAAAAAAACUUUUGCAUUAUAAUUCCAGCGGAGCUGACAAUCAGUAAUAUUUCUGCGUAGAUAUCAGUACGCUAAGAGAUCAGUAUAUCUCUGGGCAAUUCUCACUUCUUAAUCAAUGAAAAUGGCAAGUCUUUUGCCUCGUUUCAAAAAAAAAGUAUAUCUCUGGGUAUUUUGGCCAAACCAAAAAGGGUUAAGCAGAUGCAUAAUUUGCCUGGAUUUUAAGUUUUAAUCAGGCAGAAGCACAUGACUGUGUCUUUGCAAUAGACGGACGGUCAGUACAAUCGUUUCAGCAGAGAGAGUACCGCUCCAUCAUGGGAUUUUGUGAUCCUUAUGGGAAUUUCUGAAAAUCACACUCCCUAUUUCUCAACAUAGCUAUAUGUAGACACAUAUGGGCCGGAUGGGCCAUAUUUAACUCACUCACACGCACACACAAAACAUUCAAUACUCCCACUCAAGAUGGUGGUAGAUAUUUAUCAACCUCAUCUUGUUACAUGCCGACUUGAACUUUUUUUAUGAAACAAAACCACUUUAUUAAUUCGAAAUAACAGUGACAUCGUCCAUUAGGAGAGAUACAAUUUCGCUCAUGGGCUCAUCAAACCAAUCAUUGGUUUACAAACUUAUAGCCAAUCUAGGAAGCUCAAGAACAACCUUAUUUACAAUGUUCAAAACUACUAAGAGCAAGACAAGUUGGCCUUCAUUGAGGAGCUUAGGACCCUCAAGACCGUGGCAAGAAGCGAGUGGCUCCUUUUGGGGGAUUUCAACCUCAUCACUAAAGCGGCGGAUAAGAGCAACACCAACAUCAAUCGCCGCCUGGUGGCCAAGUUCCGUGGGGCUCUUGAAUUCUUGCAACUAAAGGAGCUUCACCUGGGCGGGUGCCGUUUCACCUGGUCCAAUGCGCAGGCCAACCCGGUCCUUACCAAGAUUGACCACGUGUUCCACUUCGACGAUUGGGACAUGCUCUUUCCCAAUGCACACCUUCAGGCUAUCACUACAGUUUGCUUGGAUCAUGCUCCGUUAUACCUUCAGGGGUGCGUCGACAACUCGAGAAAGCCUUCCUUUAAAUUCGAGGAAUUCUGGCUUCGUCUCCCGGGCUUCAAGGACACCGUUGCCUUGGCAUGGAACAAACCUGUCCAGGCCCGUGAUGCCAUCCGCAAGAUUCAUAUCAAGCUCUGUCGGACCACGAAGGCCUUGCCAAGUGGCAAAAGGAAAAAGUCGGGAUGCUUGGCUCCCAGAUCGCAGUUGCCAAGGAGAUCAUCUGGCGCCUGGAUGUUGCUGAGGAUGGAAGACCGCUCUCGGACUCUGAGAGGGAUUUGCGUAAACAACUGAAGGUCUCGUACCUUGGGCUUCUCGCCAUUCAGAAAAUCAAGCUGAGACAGCAUUCUCGGCUCAACUGGAUCCGCCUGGGGGACGCCACCACAAAGCUCUUCCAUGCUCGUGCGAACAGACGAAGGCGUAAGAACUUCAUUCAGACGAUCACUACCACCUCGGGGCUGGCAAUUACCAGACAUGACAAGGAGCGGGCCCUUCUGAACCACUUCCAGGCUAACAUCGGCACGCCUGCCCUGCGCACCAAGUCCAUUGUCUGGGAGAACAUCGGGAUGCAACGCCACGACCUAUCGGCUCUGGACGAUCCAUUCGACGAGGCGGAGAUUAAGGAGACGGUAUUCUCCUUACCUUCGGUCAAGGCCCCGGGUCCCGAUGGUUUCAUUGACGCCUUCUUCAAAUCAUGCCGGGAGAUCAUCAAAGCGGAUGUCAUGGCUGUGGUGAUGCAGCUCGCGAACCUGAGAGGCGACUGCGCGGGCCUGAUCAAUUCAGCCAAUAUUAUUCUGCUCCCAAAAAAGCCGGUGCAUCCUCGAUUGCUCGAUUGGAGACUACUGCCCAACCAGUUUUAUGCACAUCAUCUCCAAGAUCUUCUCCAAGCUGUUGGCUAACCGGCUAGCCCCUCUGCUUCCGUCGCUGGUUUCCAAGUGCCAGAGUGCCUUUGUGAAAAUGGUGCAUCCACGAUAAUUUCCUACACGUGCAAAACUUGAUCAAAGAAUUGAACCGCUCUUCAACGCCAGGCCUUUUCCUCAAGCUCGACAUCUCCAAGGCUUUUGACUCUGUGGGUUGGGCUUACCUCCUGGAGGUGUUACAGUAGUUGGGAUUUGGACAGCGCUGGCGGGACUGGAUCUGCAUGACCCUCGCUUCAUCUUCCUCCAGGGUGCUGUUAAAUGGGGAGCCGGGAAACCCAUUCGCGCAUGGAAAAGGCCUUCGCCAGGGUGACCCGUUGUCGCCUAUGCUCUUCAUUCUGGCCAUCGAUCCUCUGCAACUUAUGCUCCGGGCGGCUUCCCAGGCCGGGAUCCUCAAGCCCAUCAUGGCACGACCGGCCUCCUGCAGGGUUUCCCUCUAUGCGGACGAUGCUGGCAUCUUUGCUAACCCGGUCAAACAAGAGAUCGACGCCAUCGCUUGGAUCCUUGCCUGUUUUGGGGAUGCAUCGGGACCAUCACAAAUGUCAGCAAGACCGAGGUGUCUCCCAUUCGCUGCCAAGACAUUGAUCUCCCAGCCGUCCUCUCGGCCUUCCCGGUCAAGCUGGCCAUGUUCCCCGGCCGAUACCCGGGUCUCCCACUACAUACCAGGCGGCUCAGAAGGGUUGACCUCCAACCUCUUCUGGACAAGGCAAUGGGCAAGUUGUCGGGCUGGAAGGGGAAGAACCUGGUGCGAAGGGUCUCCCUUGCAAAGUCCGUGUUGUGCGCCAUUGCAAAUCAUCACCUCACUGCGCUCUCGCUUCCCACUUCGCACUUGGGCAAUCCAGAAGCUUAGUAAUAUCACUCGUAACUUCAUCUGGUGUGGGGAAGACUUAGAAAACGCGUCUGGCGGACACUCUCUGGUCAAAUGGAAGACUGUCUGCCGGCCUAAGCCCAUGGGGGGCCUGGGAAUCACAGACCUCGAGAGAUUUGGUCAGGCGCUCCAUCUUCGCUGGCCUUGGCUUAUGUGGACUGCGAUGAGACGGAUAUGGCGCUCUUCAGGGCUUCUACCACCAUCUCCUUGGGCAAUGGGAGAAAAUCCUUAUUCCGGCACGACAACUGGACAGGAUGGGGUCCUCUAUCCCGGGCCUUCCCGGAGCUAUACAAAAUUGCCACCAGGAAGCGGAGAACUGUGAUGAAGGAGCUCCAGGAGGAGAACUGGAUCAGAUCGGUGGCCUGUCUUUCAUCGCCUACCCACCUACAGGAGUUCAUUGCCCUCGCAUCAGCUAUCGCUCAGGUUGCGUUGAACCCGGACCAGGAGGACUCCAUCACUUGGCGGUGGACUCCCAAUGGCAUAUACUCUGCUGCUUCGGCCUACGCGGCCCAGUUCUCUGGAUCCUAUCCCAGGUUCUCCCCAGCCAAGAUUUGGGAGGCACACGCUGAGCCAAAAUGCAAGUUCUUGGCCUGGCUUGUACUCCACGGGAAAAUCCUCACGACCGACAUGCUAGCCGUUCGUGGCUGGCUGCACGACCCUCGAUGUCCCCUUUGCCUUGGGGCACCGGAUACGGCCACUCAUCUAUGCAAGGAUUGCCCGUUUGCCGCCGCAGUUUGAUCUCACGUCCAGGUGUGGACGGGAGAGGACUCUGGGGCCAUGCCCACGUUGCCCCCUUCGAUGGGGAUUUUGGACUCGUGGGAUUCCUUUACACCAUCUGGAACAUCUGGAAGUAGUGAAACCAAACACAUCUUCAAUGAAACUCGCCUCACGCACCUAGAGGUAGCAUCUAUUGCCUUCGACGACAUCAAGCAAAGGACUUUGGCCUUUGGCCGGGCACAAGUGGCAGCCGGUAUUGGUGGAUUAGUGCUAUCGUGUGGGCUUUUCUAGGGGUUUUUGUCCGGUUUCUCUCCAAAAAACCGGAACAGUCUUGUACAUAAACCUUAUUCUCCUUUUAUAUGAAAAGACAGUGUUCCUUCCUGUUCCUCAAAAAAAAAAGCAAGCACAAGCACAAAGUAAAGAAACAAGGAACGGAUUAACCACGAGUUGGAAACAAGCAUGUGUCCCGCACUUCCAUAUGCACACCAGUUUUUAAACUAAAUGGACCAGAUGAACCCUCCUCCCGUCCCUCCCCCGUGCGGCAGCGCCGCCCCGCACCGGGGAGCCCUCGUCCUCCUCCUACAGCCUCGCCCCUCCUCCGCUCCCCUUCGCCGCCGUCGCCCGGGGCGUCAAAUGGCAAAGCCCUUGUGGCGUGGCGGCGGCGUCGGUUUCUCCUUGGAUCUCGAUCUGGUUGGGAGGCGGCGCUCCUCUCCGGCCAGAUCGGCGGCGCUCCUCUCCGGCCAGAUCGGCGGCGGUGGCGCAGAUCGGCGACGACAUGGAAGUGGUGCGGCGGCGGCGGGGGAGGACGGCACCAGCAACGGCGGAUCUGGCCUUGACUCAUGUCGGGCUAAUUCGUUGUGCUACCGAUCUCAAUCGCCGUCGGCGGGGCACUGCUCCUGGGCUUGAUCUGCAACACGAGGAUGUCUGGGGCGCCGGCCCUAGGCUUGGUGGUGGUGGCCUUCUUCGUCAGAGUUGGUCGGCCGGCUGGCUGUGCUCGCAUGGUCAUGCAGUGACCGGCGGCUUGGCCAGUCGGCGGCAGCAGAACUUGGCCGGUGGCAGCGGCAAAGUUCUGUCUGGAUCCCGAGGCGGUGGCCCUAGAGGGUGGAGGCCGGUGAAGCUCGGGCUUCCCGCAGCGGCAUGGCGUGGUGCAGUCCCUGUUCAAGGCGGAUCUGUGACGGCGAUCUGCUAUGGAUUGAUUCGGAUCAGAGACAGCAACGAGCGCGCGGGAUCCUUCUCGGCGGCUCUCGCAGCUUGGCGAGGCGGGGUGGGAGCCCUCCUCCUAGGCUCCAGUGGUGGCACACUCAGGCAGUGGCCGGUGUGCCAGGGGUCCCACAGUGGCAUUGUUGCUGCGGUUGGUCGCCGGAUCUAGGCGGCUAGAUCUGGGGCUUUGAAGGCGGUCGAGACGGUGCACAGUUUGUUGGGUGGAUUUCUUGGGACGGAUCCGGGUGAAAACCUGAUCUUCGGUCGAUGGCCGGAGACGGUGAUGACGAUGCCCUUAUCAUCGUUUCCUUCAUGAAGGCAUCGAGGUGAAGCUCCCAACUCCACUCAAUACCUCCGGGGGAAACCCUAGAUCAGCUGAUCGGAUGUUGGCGGCAAUCAUGUGUCGUAACCCCCUUGGGGACGGCAUUCUUGGAGGUGCACUCGGCUUUGCGGGACCAGCGGAUGGCUUCUUUGGUGGAGCGGUGCUUCAUUCAUGCAUUGAUGGCGACGGAUCUGGACGGUGUGGCGCAGUGUAGAUUCGAAGUUCGAUGUGGGAGGAUGGACUCGCGCAGGAGGACGACGCUGUCUGGCGUCGUGGUGGCGUCGAUGGCUGAGAGACCUGGCACGGUAGAUGCAACAGUACAACUCUGAAGAUGGACUCGUGGCAGGUGGCUGCGGCCAGGGGCGGAGUCAGGAUUUAGGUAUAGGGGGGGCCAAGGUAACUUACAAAAUAAAACUGUGUGGUGCAAAAAAAAUAGUACCGAGUACAAUACUAAAUAAUGUGGGACGUCAAGAAAAUUAAAACAUAGCUGCAUUUAGUUUUAAAAUUUCCCCUAAAAGUGCCAGUAAGAUGAUUUUAUUUAAUAAUUUCAUGAGAAGAUAACCUAGUUGCUAAGUUUCAGUAUCAAUGUAGGUUAUCAUAUAAUUUCCAAGCAAGUCAUCUUCCAUCGGAUUGGGGACUGGUAAUUUGCACGUUUGCCUCUCAAUAUGUCCAGAAUUCGAAACAACAUACUCUAAAAAAGGAACUUGAAACAACAUGCUUAAAAAUUGAAUUAAUCUUUAUGGUGUUUGGCGACGAUUUUCCCUUCUCACACGCGUCAUAAAUCGAACAGUUGAAAGAAAUUACAAAUAAAUUAGCAUCGUAGAGACGUAGACCACUCAAUUUUAACUAAGAGUACAAGUAGAAUUAACCCUAGAUCGGCUGUACAAUUCGACACAUAUAAGAUGAGAGCUGAGAGGGAUUAACUGGGAGUACUUAAUAGUGCUAACCUUGAGAAUUAACAGCUAGAGUAGUUUCCAGGAUUCGCCGUGCAGUGUUGUCGCCUGAUUCGAUCAAACUUUGCGAGCAGUGAGGGCAUAAGCUAGCGGCCGCCGGCUGCGCUAAUCGCUCAGAUCGCACGUUAAUCACGUCAGGAGCCUUUUUAGGUAACCGCAAGGACUAGUACUAGGAGCGGGCGAGGCUAUGACCCUGACUGGGCUUUCUUAUGGGUCUUUUCUUUCGAGAUUUUAUACUCUCCGUUUCAGUUAGGGGGGGGCCUAAUACGUGUAUUCACCAAAUCUAAUUGCUAAUUACUCCUACCUGUCAAAGNNNNNNNNNNNNNNNNNNNNNNNNNNNNNNNNNNNNNNNNNNNNNNNNNNNNNNNNNNNNNNNNNNNNNNNNNNNNNNNNNNNNNNNNNNNNNNNNNNNNNNNNNNNNNNNNNNNNNNNNNNNNNNNNNNNNNNNNNNNNNNNNNNNNNNNNNNNNNNNNNNNNACUGGUAGGUGCCCCAUACCAAUCAGGCGUCUUGGUUGGGAUCUCAGGUUUUAGAUGUUUAGGUUUGGCUGUGAUGUCUGUUUGGUAUUAGGCCCAGACUAUCAGCGCCCCUUCAUCAACUGGAUAGGUGGAGCGACAGUUGUUGCGUAGACGAUGGCUUCAGUCUUACUGUUGUAUGACUUUGUAAGGUCUUGUGAGAAUAAUUAAUAAAGUGACGGCAUGCAUCGCUUAGAUGCAGAGCUCGGGGGUCAUCCUCCUUUUCUAAAAAAAAUAGAACACGAGGAUAUAUACAAGCCAAUCUAGGCCAAAGAAGAAAAAAACCUAUAGGCCUCGCCGAACCAUCAAACCUGAAUGGUCAGCCAAGCGAGACAGGGAACAGCAUCCAUGCUGAAGAACAUCUGAAUUCUUCUUGGAAAGUAGAGAAAGCAAAGAAGCCAGCCAAGCCAGGUUGCUUCGCUUGCUCUGCUUGGAAGCUUAGCUUCAAGUGCUGCCGGAAGAAGAAGAAAGAGCACAAGGAUUUGUGAGUUAGUUCUCAGGUGUUGGAUUUUGACUUCUUGAAAAAUAUUAUCGCAAGAGAGCGGGUACAUGUAUAUACCUUUUUUGGGGGUGAAUGAAAUACCGCAACUAGAAGAAGUAUGAGGAGUGUGGAGUGGCCUGUUCAAUAGUGGCAUGAAUAGUGAAACAAUUAUGCAGGGUAAAAUAUAUAGCAUACAUGAUUACUUCUUCCUGUUUUGCCAUUAGUGAUUUCGUCGGAUCUGAAUAAUUCUUCUGGACCAUCAACUUAGAAUUUGUCAAGCAAGGUUUAUGGACCACUCUUUUCUCCAUGAUUUCUC